UCCGUCAACUUGUGAAGGAUUAACAUCAGCGCGGAUAUAAAAGACUUUUGUUUUGUGUUUUGGACGUAAUAUUAAGCAAUGUUUUUAUAGUAACUAAUCUAUCCAUCCUGCUAUUAAUCCAGAAUUUCCUGAAUUGAUUGCAUCGUGCAAUUUCCAGACCCAAAUAAGUGAUCCAAAAUAUAAUUUAAGACUACUUCAUUCUACUUUUAUUGAAAAUAUGAGCGAUGGUGAGCAGAUUCUGCAUGUGCCGCCAUGUUCCAUCAGAGAUCAAUGAAGGCAAAUACGGGCAUAAAGUUCUCUGCAGGACUCCACUACGAUCGCCGUUUUUGAAAUCCAAAAAUACAUUA